UACGGGGGGUGCAAGCGUUACUCGGAAUCACUGGGCGUAAAGAGCGUGUAGGCGGGUUUGUAAGUUGGAAGUGAAAUCCUAUGGCUCAACCAUAGAACUGCUUCCAAAACUGCUUACCUAGAAUAUGGGAGAGGUAGAUGGAAUUUCUGGUGUAGGGGUAAAAUCCGUAGAGAUCAGAAGGAAUACCGAUUGCGAAGGCGAUCUACUGGAACAUCAUUGACGCUGAGACGCGAAAGCAUGGGGAGCAAACAGG
rnacentral:rRNA from 1 species